rnacentral:rRNA from 1 species
AGAGUGAACGCUGGCGGCAGGCCUAACACAUGCAAGUCGAACGGCAGCACAGUAAGAGCUUGCUCUUAUGGGUGGCGAGUGGCGGACGGGUGAGGAAUACAUCGGAAUCUGCCUAUUUGGUGGGGGAUAACGUAGGGAAACUUACGCUAAUACCGCAUACGACCUACGGGUGAAAGCGGAGGACCUUCGGGCUUCGGCGCAGAUAGAUGAGCCGAUGUCGGAUUAGCUAGGUUGGUGGGGUAACGCCCACGAAGGCGACGAUCCGUAGCUGGUCUGAGGAGGAUGAUCGAGCCACACGUGGAACUGGAACGACCGUACGGUCCAGACCGUCCGUACGGGAGGCAGGCAGGUGGGAAUAGUGGACAAGUCGGGACGAC